rnacentral:rRNA from 1 species
GACGUAGGGCGCGAGCGUUGUCCGGAUUUAUUGGGCGUAAAGAGCUCGUAGGCGGCUUGUCGCGUCGUUCGUGAAAACCUGCAGCUCAACUGCAGGCUUGCGGUCGAUACGGGCAGGCUAGAGUUCGGUAGGGGAGACUGGAAUUCCUGGUGUAGCGGUGAAAUGCGCAGAUAUCAGGAGGAACACCAGUGGCGAAGGCGGUGCUCUGGGCCGGAACUGACGCUGAUGAGCGAAAGCGUGGGGAGCAAACAGG